rnacentral:rRNA from 1 species
UGCAGUCGACGGAGAGCUAAUGACAGAGGAUUCGUCCAAUGGAAUUAGUUUCUUAGUGGCGGACGGGUGAGUAACGCGUGAGGAACCUGCCUCGGAGUGGGGAAUAACACAGUGAAAAUUGUGCUAAUACCGCAUGAUGCAGUUGAGUCGCAUGGCUCUGACUGCCAAAGAUUUAUCGCUCUGAGAUGGCCUCGCGUCUGAUUAGCUAGUUGGCGGGGUAACGGCCCACCAAGGCGACGAUCAGUAGCCGGACUGAGAGGUUGGCCGGCCACAUUGGGACUGAGACACGGCCCAGACUCCUACGGGAGGCAGCAGUGGGGAAUAUUGGGCAAUGGGCGCAAGCCUGACCCAGCAACGCCGCGUGAAGGAAGAAGGCCCUCGGGUUGUAAACUUCUUUUGUCAGGGACGAAGCAAGUGACGGUACCUGACGAAUAAGCCACGGCUAACUACGUGCCAGCAGCCGCGGUAAUACGUAGGUGGCAAGCGUUAUCCGGAUUUACUGGGUGUAAAGGGCGUGUAGGCGGGAUGGCAAGUCAGAUGUGAAAACCAUGGGCUCAACCCAUGGCCUGCAUUUGAAACUGUCGUUCUUGAGUACUGGAGAGGCAGACGGAAUUCCUAGUGUAGCGGUGAAAUGCGUAGAUAUUAGGAGGAACACCAGUGGCG